rnacentral:rRNA from 1 species
UCCCUAGAUGUUCUGGGCCGCACGCGCGCUACACUGAACAGUUCAACAAGUCUUAACCUUGGCCGAUAGGUCUGGGUAAUCUUUGAACGCUGUUCGUGAUUGGGAUAGACCUUUGCAAUUAUGGGUCUUCAACGAGGAAUUCCUAGUAAACGCAAGUCAUCAGCUUGCAUUGAUUACGUCCCUGCCCUUUGUACACACCGCCCGUCGCACCUACCGAUUGAAUGGUCCGGUGAAAUCUCGGGACGGCGGCUUGGUCGCUUGCGUCCGACUGCUGAAACUUGAUUAAACCAUAUCAUUUAGAGGAAGGUGAANUCGUAACA